rnacentral:rRNA from 2 species
AGAGUUUGAUCCUGGCUCAGGAUGAACGCUAGCUACAGGCUUAACACAUGCAAGUCGAGGGGAAACGGCAUUGAGUGCUUGCACUCUUUGGACGUCGACCGGCGCACGGGUGAGUAACGCGUAUCCAACCUUCCCAUUACUGUGGGAUAACCUGCCGAAAGGCAGACUAAUACCGCAUAGUCUUCGAUGACGGCAUCAGAUUUGAAGUAAAGAUUUAUCGGUAAUGGAUGGGGAUGCGUCUGAUUAGCUUGUUGGCGGGGUAACGGCCCACCAAGGCAACGAUCAGUAGGGGUUCUGAGAGGAAGGUCCCCCACAUUGGAACUGAGACACGGUCCAAACUCCUACGGGAGGCAGCAGUGAGGAAUAUUGGUCAAUGGACGGAAGUCUGAACCAGCCAAGUAGCGUGCAGGAUGACGGCCCUAUGGGUUGUAAACUGCUUUUGUAUGGGGAUAAAGUUAGGGACGUGUCCCUAUUUGCAGGUACCAUACGAAUAAGGACCGGCUAAUUCCGUGCCAGCAGCCGCGGUAAUACGGAAGGUCCAGGCGUUAUCCGGAUUUAUUGGGUUUAAAGGGAGCGUAGGCUGGAGAUUAAGUGUGUUGUGAAAUGUAGACGCUCAACGUCUGAAUUGCAGCGCAUACUGGUUUCCUUGAGUACGCACAACGUUGGCGGAAUUCGUCGUGUAGCGGUGAAAUGCUUAGAUAUGACGAAGAACUCCGAUUGCGAAGGCAGCUGACGGGAGCGCAACUGACGCUUAAGCUCGAAGGUGCGGGUAUCAAACAGGAUUAGAUACCCUGGUAGUCCGCACAGUAAACGAUGGAUGCCCGCUGUUGGUACCUGGUAUCAGCGGCUAAGCGAAAGCAUUAAGCAUCCCACCUGGGGAGUACGCCGGCAACGGUGAAACUCAAAGGAAUUGACGGGGGCCCG